ACGCACGUGGCGGAAUUGGUAGACGCGUUAGGUUGAGGGCCUAAUGAGAAUCAUCUCAUGGAAGUUCGAGUCUUCUCGUGCGUA
rfam:Flavobacteriaceae bacterium TMED206 44007, whole genome shotgun sequence.